rnacentral:rRNA from 1 species
AGUGAACGCUGGCGGUAGGCCUAACACAUGCAAGUCGAACGGCAGCACAGUAAGAGCUUGCUCUUACGGGUGGCGAGUGGCGGACGGGUGAGGAAUACAUCGGAAUCUACUUUUUCGUGGGGGAUAACGUAGGGAAACUUACGCUAAUACCGCAUACGACCUACGGGUGAAAGCAGGGGAUCUUCGGACCUUGCGCGAUUGAAUGAGCCGAUGUCGGAUUAGCUAGUUGGCGGGGUAAAGGCCCACCAAGGCGACGAUCCGUAGCUGGUCUGAGAGGAUGAUCAGCCACACUGGAACUGAGACACGGUCCAGACUCCUACGGGAGGCAGCAGUGGGGAAUAUUGGACAAUGGGCGCAAGCCUGAUCCAGCCAUACCGCGUGGGUGAAGAAGGCCCUCGGGUUGUAAAGCCCUUUUGUUGGGAAAGAAAAGCAGCAGGUUAAUACCCCGCUGUUCUGACGGUACCAAAAGAAUAAGCACCGGCUAACUUCGUG